UUUUGCUUUUGGAAUGUUUAGCUAUUUUUUUGACGACAAAAGAAGUUGGCGGAGUAACUAAGUAGUUGAGAGGACUAACGCGACUAUUUACGUGAACAGUUACUUGAUCGAUAGAACAGUAAACAAGUGGUAUAAUAAUUAGCUAUUUAAAGCUGUAUCUAAUUUAUAAUCUUACUUCGGCUUCCUAUUUUGUUCUAUGACUAAUUAAUUACCAAGGAAUAAUUUGCAAGUAUUCGUAACUGGUCAGGCGCUAUACAAAAAUCCAAACUUCGAAAGUAGGAAGACUUUUCCAUAUUACUGAUUACGAAUUUUGUUAAAAUAAAAAUUCUUGACACA